GGAGGUGAUUUGCAUUGGCAGCUCAUGCUUCAGUGCUCUGGGAGUGUUUAUAACCCUGUGAGUUUCAGACUGCAGGACUGAGAUCUGUCCAUCAACACAACAGAAACCACGACAACCAUGACUCUGAUCACCUUCUUCAUCUGGACACUGGUCUGCUGCUGCCUCAAGGGAUCCAGAGGUCAGGUGACUGUGACUCAGCCUCCUGUAGUGACCUUUUCUCCAGGAGACCUUGUCACUCUGACCUGUACAACCAACCCUAAAGUGUACAAAUUGGCUGAUUUAUUGGAGAGUGCUUUCUGGUAUCAACAGAGACCUGGAGAAGCUCCCAAACUCUUGAUAGAAUAUGGAAAUAAACUGCUAGAUGGGAUUCCUGCUAGAUUCAGUGGCAGUGGGUCUGAGAGUGACUUCACUCUGACCAUCAGUGGAGUCCAGGCUGAAGAUGCAGCAGUUUACUACUGUCAGAGUUACCAUGAGCUCAAUGAUAAAGAUGUGUUCACACAGUGAUUUAGAGUCAUACAAAAACCUUCCUCAGUCAGACUGCACAGAGACUGUACUGCUGCAGCUGGGACCUACUGCAGGUGUUGAGGAGCA